GUCCGUUUUCUGCCUGAUGACCAGAUGCAGUUUCUCUGGACUUUCUUCCCCCUUCCCCAGCAGCUAACGAUUGGGCUGAGUAGUUCACAAGAUUGAACACGUGGACAGGUAAACACACCAUCCCCGGAGAACGGGCUGCUCGCUAGUUGGCCGAUGUUCCAGAAUAUUAACUUUCGUCUACGAUGCCACAGGCUACCUUCAUGCGUACCAUGUCAGUAACUUUUCCAUCUCUCCGCCUCAGUCUAUACAAAAACAAUGCGAUCGUUUCUCGGAGGGAUUGUCACAGGAGAUACAUCGGUUCAUGAAAGAAAAAAGAUCAAGUUACAGGCAAAAAGAAUACAGGGACCGAUAGAAAAAAAAACUAAAGAUUAAGCAGAAUCAGAGAAGAUACUGUUCAAAGAAACAUGGCAAGGGACCAAGAAGACAUCUACAUGCAAGAAAUCUGAUGCAAUGAGAGCUCGCUUUCACACACUUAGUAUUUCCAAAUAAAGAAAAUAGCAUAAAAUUAAUAGCCUUUUCAGGAAAAUGAGGAAAGUGCUUCUCAAUCUAUUUUAGGAAUAUUUUUACCGGUAGAGUGGGCCCUUGUAUUUGCCUCUCUGUAAUACGUGAAUGAAACUGGAAACAGAAAGGGAAGAAAGGAGCCAAUACCUGUUGCUCAGAGAAUGGGAUAUGGGCAUUUAGGAGGAAAUACCUGCCAGAAAAUAUUAUUUAAAUCACAGAUUUCAUUCAUCUAACUUGAGCUCAUUUUAGUGCAAAAUAACUAUCAACAUAGUUUAUGAAGCAGAUCUAAAAUCGAGGAAAUUCACUUAACCUCCAACCACCCUCUAGCACCUACCAAGAAGAUUUAGAAUAGGUUUUAGUGACACUAUGAGCUAGUAAUCUAAAAAACCUAUAAGCCGUUGUCAUUGUUUGAGGUAGAUUUGCAGUACAUUAGUAGCCACAGUGGUAAAACCAUACUGAGACAAUAAUACUGUCUGCACUCUUUAAUAAGUCCGACUCAGCUCUGUUUAUUCUAGCACAGCGGCAUGCUCACUGGAUGAUGAUAAUUAAGUACCAAAUAUACCAUAUUGUGUGGCUCCAUAAUCAAAUAAAAGGAGGAUAAUAUUAUCUGUAUUAAGCCAUUAAUGUAAUUGGUUAUGAAGCAUAAAAUAUGUUAUGUAAUUAAAUAGGCCAGAAAUUAUAUGGCCUAUAUUAAGAAUUAUCCAAGCUGAGAAAAUGUUGUCUCAAUGGCUGUUUUAGGGAACACUGCUUUUAACAUUUUUCUAACUGCAUCAGUAAAGAAAGGAAGGCACGAAAUUGACUCCAUCACUAAUGUACUAUGGUAACCUCCUCAAAUAUCUCACAAGAAACUAUAACCAUUAUUUUAAAUAAUCUGAAACAAUCCAGUGCUAUUGAGUGACUGCAGAGAAAGUCAUUUUUUGUGGGUUGGACAUACAACUUUGAGUACAAAAGGAUUGAAGAUGGUUUAAUAAUGAAAUAGUCUGCCAUUCUUUUUCAAAUGUAAGCAUUAAGCUCAAUGGUAGCAAAGAGUUUCAGUUAUUAAAUAAACUUCA